AUUGCAUAGCACCUAGCCAGUAGCAGUGAAACUGGCUGAAACGUUGUGUAAGCAACGUAAUUUAAGUCAUUUAUAUUCGUGGUUUAAAACUAGUCUGCUGUUUUUGUGAAAGCACUGUUAAGGCAGAAAGUGUGUGCCACGUGGUAUGUUAGCUAGCAAUUGUAUAUAACUAACUAGCACAGUAGGCUACUGCAAGAAACUAGUUAGCCCUAGCCAUCCACCACGAGUUGAGUUUGCCAGAACUACUGGGCAAAUUCUGUAAGUGACAUGGCUAAAUGACGCUCGGGUUUUGCUUUCAUCUCUGCAGGGUUAGUUGCAGUUGGAUGACAAUGAGGCCCGAAACAUGUUAAACAUUUCUGAUGGAUCUUAAACGGAGCCAAUAUUGGCUGAAUGUUAACAUUUCUACGCGUGUUGGCUGAAACUAAAAUUAAAUGUUUUGCUAACUGCCAGUGUAAUGGUAAAAUUGUUUUCACGGAUGGUAUCUUCCCCUCUUAUUUGGUUGCGCUUAUGUCAGCGGUCUUAAUUUGAAGUGUCUUGACUUUGCAGACGGGCCUUAUGACUGUUUCAUGCAGCGUAAACGCAUGCACUACAGGGAACCAUGACACUUUACCAUGCGGGUGACAAUGGGUGCAGACGUGGCAAAACACAGCGAGAUUUGCUUGGCUGAUGGACGUACUCUUGGAUGAAUUCAAAUGCUACGGUGUAGGUCUGUAAAUGAGCACUAGAUGGCUCUCCAGCACAGUCUACCUGUUGCCAAGGACCAAAGAUGUGCAUAGGAUGUGAUGUUGCUUGAUGCCAAGUAUGCCCGUAAUGGAAGUUGUACCAAGAACGGUUUCAAGAGGAACUGUAGCCCCACCAAGGAUGGUGCGUAUGCACAAGACUACGGGCAACUUUAGAAAGGAUUCAGUGUGAUCUUCCUGUUGAUGGACUCCGACCACUCCCAGAUCCCACUCAGUCUUCCCCUCAACCUGCACCUCAUAGUAGAACCUCCCUGAGGAGAAGCCCUGCUUUCCCAGGACAUUGACACAAUGAUCAAACCUCUCUGGGUUGUCAGGGAGAUCCUGCUCAGUCUCCAUGUCUCACUUGUUUCCCAUCCUCAGACAGAAUGAGAUCAGGAUUUUUUUCUAAUUCUAUAAAUUGGAAUUAAUUUAAUAAAAUACAUUUGAUAUAAAGUAAACAUUUAGUGUUUGUGUUAAGCAAGGUUCUGACUAAGUGUCUUCCUCCAGCUGUCAGAAGCAUCUUUUAGCUAUGUGUGAACAGUGUAGGAUGGUGCUCAGCACCUGUUAACACCUCACAUCACAUAUCUCAAAUGUCCUCUGUCUUAGCUUUGUCUCAUGUUAAUCUUGCUGUAGUAGAUGGUGUCACAAUAAUACUGCACUAUACAUACACAACCCUUUGUCUAUGUUCACAGAUUGAGGGUUGAUUAUGAAGACAGUUGAGGGGGAUGUCAAAGCCAAUAAUAUAGUCUGUGAUCUCUGUGGGUGUGUGUUUGUAUGAGUUCACGGUUGAUUGUUGGAGGACAUUUUUUUAUGAUUGUAGGACAUUUUUGUCAAAUGAUUUGAGGAAUCAAUUUUUUGGGGAAAGAAUCUUUUGAAACAUUUCAAAUUUGAUGUAUAUUAAGAGUUAAUGUGUGUGUGUGUGUCUUUGUGUAUAUGAGAGAGAGGGGGGGGAUGUCUAGUUGACUGACCUGUUGAGUGUGUUUGUAAUGUUAAAUAUGUGGAUUACCCUAAACAAUUUAAGCACACUGACCGAAGCAGUGAGAGAAAGCAAGAGUUUAUGAUCUUCCGUGCAUUUCCAACUUGAACAGAACUAGUGUGAACCUGAAACACAACUGUGUGUUUGUACAUCAUCCCUGAAUACAAUAACCAUGUUAGGAUCUUGUGUUGGAGGUUUUCUAAUCUAAACAAACAUUCUCAUAGGUGAUUUGUCCUUUUCACUGAUUGUGGUAUUGUACAAAAUUAAAGGAUUUAAUGUGGUUUAUAUUCA